rnacentral:rRNA from 1 species
UACGAGGGGGGCGAGCGUUGUUCGGAAUUAUUGGGCGUAAAGGGUGCGUAGGCGGUUCGGUAAGUCUGAUGUGAAAUCUAUGGGCUCAACUCAUAGUCUGCAUCGGAAACUGCCGGGCUUGAGUGUGGGAGAGGUGAGUGGAAUUCCUGGUGUAGCGGUGAAAUGCGUAGAUAUCAGGAGGAACACCUGUGGCGAAAGCGGCUCACUGGACCAUAACUGACGCUGAUGCACGAAAGCUAGGGGAGCAAACAGG